rnacentral:ncRNA from 1 species
CAACAGUUUUGGUCCUGGGCUAACCGUUGUUUUUUAUUAAGUUUAUACAUGCAAGUUUCAGCAAACCAGUGAAAAUGCCCACAACCCCUAGAAAGGGAACUGGAGCAGGUAUCAGGCACCACCAAAUGAGCCCACAACAUCUUGCUACGCCACACCCCCACGGGUAAUCAGCAGUAAUAAAUAUUGAACCAUAAGUGAAAACUUGAUUCAACUAUAAUACCACCAAGGGCUGGUUAAUUUCGUGCCAGCCACCGCGGUUAUACGAAAAGCCCAAAACAACGACAACGGCGUAAAGCGUGACUAGAGAUCUAUUCCUUAAAAAUAUUAAAACCCGUCACCUAGUUAUAAAAUACUUAAGGGAAGAGGAAGCCCAACACAAAUAUUUUUAAUAAAUACCCUUGAAUUCACGAAAGCUUAGAAACAAACUAGGAUUAGAUACCCUACUAUGCUAAGCCCUAAACACUGAAUAGACACAAUACAAUGUCUUCCGCCAGAGAACUACAAAUGAAAAAUUUAAAACUCAAAGGACUUGACGGUGUCCCAUAUCAACCUAGAGGAGCCUGUCCUAUAAUCGAUACCCCCCGAUUCACCCAACCUUAAUUAGCAUCUUUCAGCCUAUAUACCGCCGUCGACAGUCUACCCCAUGAGGGUUUAAUAGUAGACAUAAUAGCCCAACCGCUAACACGUCAGGUCAAGGUGUAGCAAAUGUUAAGGGAGAGAUUGGCUACAUUUUUUAAUUUUAGAAAAUACGGAAAGUGUUAUGAAAUAAUACAUGAAGGUGAAUUUAGUAGUAAAAUAAAUAAGAGUAUUUACUUUAACAUAGCUCUGGGACGCGUACACACCGCCCGUCACCCUCCUCAACAUAAUUAACCCCUAUAUAAACCAACAGACUUACUACAGAGGAGGUAAGUCGUAACAUGGUAAGCGUACCGGAAGGUGUGCUUGGACUUA